UCACGCUGAGAUGAAAUCUCAGCCGUUUAAACUCACAAAAAUAACCGCUCUAAUGACGGUUCAGGGCGGUUAUUGGCAGUUUUCUGCAGGUGGUUUGUUCCACCUUUUUCUACACAUGAUCUCCAAAACUUUGGUGGUUACAUCUUAAUUUUUCUCAAAACCGUUUUUUAUGCAGUUCACAGAAGUUUUUAGCAGUUUAGCUAGAUCUCUUCUCUAUCCCAUCUUUGUAGGUUCACGUUUCCAUCCACGUUCGCCGAUUUCUCCUCCCCAACCACCCUAGGCCACCCAUUAUAAAUCCUCCACCACCCACCAUCGGCAAAGACUGCUCUCUCUCUCCUAUUUUGCAUUUGUUAUUGAGGUUUUCUGAUUUCUCUGAUCUCUUGAAGGCUUGAAGCUACUUAUGGUUUUUUCCCACUAUGGGGAGGUACUAAAUUUUGCAUAUAUGAAUGAAAUACAUGUAUGCUGGAGCAUGGUUUUUUUGCCUACCAGGAAAUUGAGGAAGCACCUGAGUUGCUGGAGAAACCGGAAGAAGCAUUGGGGCUGCAAGAAGUAGAAGUUUAACCGUUGUGUUGGCAGUUCUCAGCAGUUUCGUAGCCUGGGAGUUAGCCCAACCUUUUCAUGCCCACGUGUGAUGAUUGUUCAACUCCCAUGUU